rnacentral:rRNA from 1 species
GAUGAACGCUGGCGGCGUGCCUAAUACAUGCCAGUCGAGCGAACAGACGAGGAGCAUGCUCCUCUGACGUUAGCGGCGGACGGGUGGGUAACACGUGGAUAACCUACCUAUAAGACUGGGAUAACUUCGGGAAACCGGAGCUAAUACCGGAUAAUAUAUUGAACCGCAUGGUUCAAUAGUGAAAGACGGUUUUGCUGUCACUUAUAGAUGGAUCCGCGCCGCAUUAGCUAGUUGGUAAGGUAACGGCUUACCAAGGCAACGAUGCGUAGCCGACCUGAGAGGGUGAUCGGCCACACUGGAACUGAGACACGGUCCAGACUCCUACGGGAGGCAGCAGUAGGGAAUCUUCCGCAAUGGGCGAAAGCUUGACGGAGCAACGCCGCGUGAGUGAUGAAGGUCUUCGGAUCGUAAAACUCUGUUAUUAGGGAAGAACAAAUGUGUAAGUAACUAUGCACGUCUUGACGGUACCUAAUCAGAAAGCCACGGCUAACUACGUG